UAGGCUAGUGGAGCGACCGGGUGAACUGAAACAUCUCAGUAGCUCGAGGAAAAGAAAUCAACCGAGAUUCCGAAAGUAGUGGCGAGCGAAAUCGGAUGAGCCUUUACGUUUUAGCGCGCAGGAUAGUCGAACGGAAUGGAAAGUCCGGCCGUAGCAGGUGAUAGCCCUGUAGACGAAAUUCUGUGUGUGGAACUAAGCGUAAGACAAGUAGGGCGGGACACGUGAAAUCCUGUUUGAAGAUGGGGGGACCAUCCUCCAAGGCUAAAUACUCGUGAUCGACCGAUAGUGAACCAGUACCGUGAGGGAAAGGCGAAAAGAACCCCGGAAGGGGAGUGAAAUAGAUCCUGAAACCGUAUGCAUACAAACAGUAGGAGCCUCCUUGUGGGGUGACUGCGUACCUUUUGUAUAAUGGGUCAGCGACUUACAUUCAGUGGCAAGGUUAACCGAAUAGGGAAGCCGUAGCGAAAGCGAGUCCGAAUAGGGCGAUUUAGUCGCUGGGUGUAGACCCGAAACCAGAUGAUCUAUCCAUGGCCAGGUUGAAGGCACGGUAACACGUGCUGGAGGACCGAACCCACUAAUGUUGAAAAAUUAGGGGAUGAGCUGUGGAUAGGGGUGAAAGGCUAAACAAAUCUGGAAAUAGCUGGUUCUCUCCGAAAACUAUUUAGGUAGUGCCUCAAGUAUUACUGCGGGGGGGUAGAGCACUGUUAUAGCUAGGGGGGUCAUGGCGACUUACCAAACUAUGGCAAACUCCCGAAUACCCGCAAGUACAGCUUGGGAGACAGAGCACCGGGUGCUAACGUCCCGGACUCAAGAGGGAAACAACCCCAGAACCGCCAGCUAAGGUCCCGAAAUUAUCGCUAAGUGGGGAAACCGAAGUUGGGAAGG
rnacentral:rRNA from 1 species